ACCCGUCUGUUCUCGUCGUGGCGGCCGCCCCCCAUUCCCCAUCCUUGUCGCCGUGACGCCUGACGCCUUCUCCCCGGACCCCGAUCCGGCUCCGGCAAUCCCACGCCCAGGCUGUCCAGCUCCAGGCUCCACCGCUCCAGCACGACAGCACCACCAGCGCCGCCCUGCCCCUGUCCCUACUCCCUAAUCCCACGCGGCCACACCCAGGUCCCAGGAACCAGCACUAGGAACCAGCCGGCGUCCACUCCGUCCAGCGGAAAUUCGAAACCAGCGUCCAGCACUAGGGUGAACUGGCUGUUUGGACCCGUUCUUUAUCUUGCGUCGUUCAGCCGGCGUCCUCUCUCUCUCUCUCGUGGCGACGACUGGGCGACCUCCCCGCCCCCGCUGCUCUACGCCAGGUGCCCAGGUCUUCGUCGGGCCCUUCGCCGAAGAGCAGCCAACAGGUAUGCGCACCCCUUCUCUUCCCUUCCCGCUGUGCGAAGCUGAGGACCCAAACCCUAGCUGACACUGUUUUGGCUAUUUGCGUUUGGAUCGGAUCUAAUUUCAGGUGUAUACGUGUAGUAUUAUGCUUUCUAACUUGAUUUUCUUGCAAAAUAAAAACAUGGGUCCGCUCAUCUUCCCUACUGGGUCCGCCUGGGCAUAUGUAGGAAUUUUAGCUAUCUUUUAGCCGAUUGAAUCAACUUCUAGAAUCACUACAUUAACUUGUAUUCGUUGAGAUUUACUUCUUUAGGUUGGUGACAUAUUUUGCCAGAUUACUGGGUAUAUUGUCAGCUAUAUUAGUCUACUAAUGGAUGUUGCCUUUUCUUGGUGGUAGCUUUAACUGCGAUUUCGGUUGUUUGUUUCGUUUCUAUCAGAUAUUAAUAAUCUAAAAUGGUGUGCAGCUUAGGUUAAAAUCAAAAAAAUUUGUCGGGCGGAUAAUACAAGGCCUACACCAGAAGGAAUACCCUUUGUGCGACAGGCGAACAGCUGUCUCUCUCUCUGCAGUGUUAUUUGGUUUAUUAUAUGCAGUUGCAGGGGAGAAAACUAAGGCAUGUUCACUGCAGCUAGAAGCACAGCCGCAGCAGAUGCAGCAGGCUUCUUAUACAGUAUUUGCAGCUUAGAAGUUGGAGUGGCAGCUGCAGCUAGCUGCAGCAAACACUCCUAACAAUAAUAGUGGAGAGAGACUUUCAUGCUGUUUAAAUUUAGGUGAUUUUUGGGAAUUAACUUGCAGAUUUAUUAAUUAUUAUAUAGGUAAAAAGUGUAGUAUCAGUUACUAGGAGCAAGAACUUGCCCUGAUGACACAGUUAUUUUGGUUUUUCUCCUAAUAUUUAACCUUUUGAGUAAGUGUGCAGAUUAGGUCUUAAAAAGGGAUUGCGAUUAAGAUUUUAUUGCCAGAGCCUGAGCUGUAGAAUUUUCCAUUUACACACGUGACUGUACAGGGGGUAAACUUGCAGGAAUAUUACUUGGUGUUCCUAUAAGAUACACAUGCUGUGAACCCUGAUUUGUUUUAGCUGCUUUUGUUCGUUUUUGUCUACUUAGCCUUGCACACUGAGGACCUUUAUUGAGGUAUUCCUUGAUCCCCAUGGUUCUAGAUAACAAACCAUGAGUUUACAUCAUUAUCCCCUCUAUCUCACCUUAUAUUGAACAUGGUUUUUGAUACUAUUCUUCUUUGUGCUUGAAGGUUGCCGGUCUGCGAGUUGAAUCAUGGCGGAGCACUUGGCUUCGAUCUUCGGCACUGAGAAGGACAGGGUCAACUGCCCUUUUUACUUCAAGAUUGGGGCCUGUCGUCAUGGGGAUCGCUGCUCUCGUCUGCACAACAGGCCAACUAUAUCACCAACUCUUGUGCUUGCUAACAUGUAUCAGCGCCCCGAUAUGAUAACCCCUGGAGUUGAUGCUCAAGGCCAACCUAUUGACCCUGAGAAGAUGCAGGAGCAUUUUGAGGACUUCUAUGAGGACAUCUAUGAGGAGUUGGGGAAGUUUGGUGAGAUUGAGAAUCUGAAUGUUUGUGAUAACCUUGCUGACCACAUGAUUGGGAAUGUCUAUGUCCAGUUCAGGGAGGAAGAGCAAGCAGCCGCAGCAUACAAUGCUCUUCAGGGGCGCUUUUACUCUGGCCGCCCUAUAAUUGUUGAGUAUUCUCCUGUGACCGACUUCCGUGAAGCAACCUGUAGGCAGUUUGAGGAGAACAGCUGCAACCGUGGUGGCUACUGUAAUUUCAUGCAUGUGAAGCAAAUUGGCAGGGAUCUCAGGAGGAAGCUGUAUGGGCGUUCUGCUUCCAGGAGGUACCAUGGGAGAAGCCGAAGCCGAAGCCCGCCACCACAAAGGAGGGGCCACCGUGACCGUGAUGACUACCGUGGUGGCGGCGGUGGUGGAAGGGGAAGAGGUAGCAGGUAUGACAGGUACGAUGAUGGAGCCGGCAGAGGUGGCAGGCAUGACAGGUAUGAUGAUGGAGCAGGCAGAGGCGGCAGACAUGACAGGUAUGAUGAUGGAGGAAGGCGCAGGCAUGGUAGCCCCCCAAGGCGUGCAAGGAGCCCAGUCAGGGAAAGCAGCGAGGAGCGAAGGGCCAAGAUUGAGCAGUGGAACCGUGAACGAGAGGGAAAACAGUGAGGGCUACUGUUCGCCGGACUCUCUCAUCCCUAUAUUCUAAGUAUGCUUGUGUGGAUGACAUUCUGCCUGGCUAAGUAAAACCUUUUUAAGAUCAGGAUUCCUCGGUUCAUUUUAUGGUUAAACCAGACAUCAUUUGUUUCCAUCUGUGUUGUGUCGGAUCCUUUGCUAUUAUGUUAUUUUGACAAUUGGUGUCAAAUCUUUUGAGGUGUGCUAUUAGCUUAUGAUGAUGUCAGUUGUGGUUUGUCACUAGAUUUGCCAUUUGGCUUUCAGUCGUGUGUUGCGGAUUUCUUGUUUUCCCUCUCAUUUUUGCUCAUUGUAGUAUGUGCAGUAGCAUGGAGCAGGUUCGAUUGAGUUUGAGCUGUCUUUUGUCGUGGGUUCAUGGCAACCUGUGGUUUCUAGUGAUGACGAUGAGCCACAUGCAUGCGUGGUUAGUGGUGGUCGCCUUCGCGCUUGGGCUCUGCAUCAUUUCAAUGCGAUCCGGGAACGGGAUCCAGACGUGUUACAGUCAAACAGAGGGGAAUCUCGGCUGAAAAAUGCUCAAUCUUCGUAGUGUACGUGACUUCCACAUGGAAGGCAAUCAGGGUCUCGUGAGUAAGGUAACCAAACAUCGUCAUGAUAUGUAUAUGCCCUCGACCUGGCUAUUUUUCAUCGGUUUCUAUAACCCUUUCAGGUUUCAACCAACCCACCAACCUUAGCCAAAGCUGCGAUAUAGGUCUCUGAUAUGCUAGGACCUAUCUCACGCAUUCAUUAUUUUGAGCUUCACUCUAUUAACAGUGUAGUCUACAAUUAUAUUAUUUUGCACACCUAUAGUAUCCAGCUCUCCUUCGCUACGGGAGGAGACGAACUAGAACCACCAGUGGCAGACGCAGAACAAAAAUCCAUAGGAGGCCAAAAAGAUUGCAGGACAAAAAAAUCAAAUAAGACUGUAAAAAGCUACUUUUUUUAAAUCUAAUUCAAGUUUCAAAUCAAUAGACGUUAGGAGUUUGAAGAAAAAAAAAAAACUAUAUGAACAAAAUAAGGGAAACAAAACACUAAAUUGUUGCCGACUAAAUCUAAGUUGUGGCUAUCUCCUUGAAGGAUGGGGGCACUGGAGGGGCAGGGUCGACCCCUCGAGACGGGUCGUAUCGUCGCGACGAGCGAGAUUAGGGCUAGCUACUGGACGAGUCAGCGUCCACGAUCGUCUCUGAAAUUUAGUGGGCCCGGUGCAAAACAAAAAAUAGGCCCCUUAACAUAUAGUAUAUAGAGAUAAAAAAUAUCUAAAUAGACUUUUUCAUAUUUGAUCUAUUAUCAUAUUGUUGAAUCAUAUUAUCUAUUUUAAGGCUAACGUUUUAUUUUACAAAAAUAUCAAAUAAUCCUUAUCCUAUUGUAUCAUUUAUACUCAGAAAACUAAAAAAAUUUGGAGGCCAUGUGCUAUUGCUCGUUUAUGCUACACAGUAGACGGGCCUACCAGCGUCACGGCGACGACAAUGAGCGGGACAAGGGGCGCUAGGGAGAGGCAUCCGAAAGAACUGGCUUGAGCAGCAUCAGAACGAAUGGGGACUGAUGGAUAGAUGUGAUGAAUGGGUCGAGGAGGACGGGGUCAGAAGAACUAGACAAAUUCGACGAAAAUGUCGAAAACGGGACUAUUAAUUUUAAACCAUGUAAAACUUAUUUUUUUUAUACUAGGUGCACAUUAGAUAUAAAAAGGUUAUAGAUAAUUAAGGGGGAGAUGCAUGGCCUACUUUGCCUUCCCCCCUUAUGGAUCCGAUCCGCCAAUGAGAACCACGAUGGUUCUUUAAUUCCUCCUCUUGCAUGGAAAUAUCACCUCUCAUCUGUGUAGGGUUUUUCUCCUUCAGCAUUUGGACGAUAUGGUCGAAUAGGUUACCCUAGCUAGCAAACGCAGGAGGCAUGGGACCUAAACCACGACAGCAUUUGAAAGACGUCGUGAACCGCGCACCUACCUCGACGCCGAACGGGUUAACAAGAGGACAAUCAACAGCAUGACCUGCCCCCCAUUAAAUAAAGAAAAUACUACUAGUACGUACAGUAAGCCGACUGCUUGUCAUCCGGCCUAGCUAACCACGUGGCGGUCUCUCUGUCCACAGACCAUAGCCACCGAUUCCCGAUGUUGAUCCAUGUCUGCGCUACUCGCAGGUCACUGUCACUCCCUUCCCACCACCCACCGGCCAAGCUCUCGCGCGUGCCGUCGCAAGACCCAACACUACCUAUGGGUGUGUUUGCGACCCCGGCCCAACAACCCAAUUGCGCUCCUGGGCUGCAAGUGGCCUUGUUUGCAAGGGUGGCCCACGUUGCUGCCAGGCUCCCAGCAGCCAAAAAGGACCAUUGUGUCUGGCUCCCAGGAUACACUGCUAGGGUUCGUUUCCUGAGAGCGCGGCUGCGUGCGGCGCAUGCACGCACGUCGGCUCUCACGGUCGGCGGGGUGGCUCGCGCGGGCUCGCGCGGGAAGGUGAAACUUUUGCGCGCGGGAAGGCGAGCUCUGGUGAAUCCUCUUACGGCUAUAUAUGGCGAUGGUGCUCCCUAUUUUUCCCUCCUCUCGCUGCUCGUUGUUCUUCCACCCCCCUCGUGAGAGACCGGAGGCGAUAGGCUGUGCAUCGCGGCUGCGUCCACCUAUGACUGGUGUCGGGACUCCGGGGUGUUGAGCAUCUUCUUCAUCUCUGGUCGAUCUUCCUCCUCUACUUCUAGAUUUGCUCCGUCUCCGUUGCUAUGACCUUGACCCCAAGGUGAAAUCAGCCCCAAUCGUUCUAUUUUAUGGUGCUUGCUUCAUGAGUUAGGGUUGGUACAAUUUGUUGUUCAUGUUAUACCUGCUACGAUUUUGAUUUUCAUGUGGUUUGCUUUGGAUUUAUAUUAAAAUGGCCGAUGAUGUUGUCCUUUACGUUCGUCUGGAGGUAUCAUCUAGAUGAUGCAGUCGUGUUCUUUUUCCUUACUGAUUCAUUGUGCAAGCAUGUUGAGUCCAAGCAGGGUAUGAUUAUAUUAAUUUCUGUAUCAGCUGCCUUGACAGUAGUGAUGGUUUCAUUUGUUACCACUAGGCUUAAAAGAAAAAGGUUUGAUCCUGAAGUAAAGCCUGACACCCUCUAGUGUAUGUACUUAGGGAAGAAAGUAAACUUCACAGACAGAGGACCCUCAACAUGAUUUACAACUCCACUGAUGUAGAGUGCAUUUCCAUGCUUAGGAUGAGGAUAUCCCCCUUUUUUGCUUUAUGCACGACCUUUAGAGAGAGGGGACUGAUAACUGAUAGGGAGGGGGUGUCAAUAGAGGAGCAAGUUGUCAUGUUCCUGCAUGUUGUUGGUCACAACCAAAGGUUUAGAGUUGUGCACCAGGCCUUUAGGAGGUCCAUUCAGACAGUACACAAGCACUUGUGCUUUCCUUUAUGCCUAUGAUGACAUAAUUGCUACUUUGUGAAACGUUAAUGUGGAUGAUCUUUAAAUUGUGAGGUACUGGGUAUAUGGUGAAAAUUAUGUUGUUUCCACCAUGUUGUCAUUAUUGCCAUGGAACCAUGGGGCACAUCCAUGCCCAAUGCAACUGUUAUCCACCAAAGAUGACUUAAUGGUUGGGUUGGAUGAAUAUCAUGGUUUCAUGGCCUUGAUGAGCUUCAAUUUGUCUAGUUUGGCUGCCCAGCUAUGUUCCUUAUGCUCCAAGCUAAAAGAUCACAUGAAAUGUCAAUUAUAUCUGAGAAAAAUCAUUACUAUUUCAUUGAGGUUGAGUGCUUUAAUCAGCUGAUGCUUGUAUGGUUCAAUUGACAUAUGUUGUUGUAAUGAUCUUGCAAACUCUUGCUCAUUCUGUAUUUAUCUAUGCCCAUCUCUACUGUCAAUCUUGCUCUUUUCAUUUCGUCGAUGAUGACACAAUUGGUGGAUGCAUUUGUUGGAUGCAUGUGCUUUUGCUAUCUAAGCUGGGAUGCACAUCUGUGUGAUGUCUGACUAUGUUGCGUUCUUCUUUCGUGGCUUCUUUGAUUGUACCUUGUAGCCAGCAAUGACAUGAAUUGAUGAAGUUAAAUUUGUCCGAGGCUAACUCAGCUGAUGCUUGUAUGCUUCAAUUGACAUAUGUUGUUGUAAUGCUCUUGCAAACUUUUGCUCGUUAUUUUUUAUUCAUCUAUGUCCAUCUCUAUUUUCUGUCUAUGGGCCAGGCCGACUACGGCCAUCUGCCAAACACAUUCUCGGUUUGGCAGUUGGGCAGUUGGCCUAUUAGCCAAGCUGUCAAAAUGGGUCGCGAACACGAUCUCGCCUGGGCCGAGCUUAUUUCGUACAGGAACACAAACAAAGUGACUUGCACCAACUGAUGCAUCUUGUUCGUCGGAGUUCUUAUUUUGACCAAAACAUGUGCACGCUUCUACGGUGAUAGAACACGUCCAAUGCGUUAUAGCCCUCUUUGGUCGCUCUCUACCACCCCUGUCCAAUGUGUUAUAGCCCUCUUUGGUCGCUGUACACUGGGCACAUCCGUUGUUUUGUGUAUGUCCUCAGACACGCUACAUUUUUUUUCUUCUAAAUGUUGUAUCUGGUGCCCAAUCAGAUGUGGUGUCUAAUGCACACCUACACAUUUGGUGUAAUCUGCUGCUGAAGGGUAGCCCUUUCUCGCUACAUUACUCCUCAUAUUCGGUGUUUUAUUUGGUGCCUCACACGGUCUGAUGCUGCUAACAAGUCUGUUUUUUCUUCAUGUUUCCGCUCUCCUUCGGUCAGUCUUUUUUUUUUCCAUCUUGUGUUUUGUACUCUUUUGCAUUAUUCGACGUAUUUUCCAAUGCCUUUGCUUAAAGUGAUGAUUAUAUGGAUCACUCAUUUGCCUCCGUCCGAAUCUACUGUGUGAAAGAGACACAGUAACACAGCAGCACGCCCCCACUCUCAAGUUUCGUCACUCGAUCCACACUCUCAACCAGCUCAUUAAAUACAAGAGCAUGUGCAGAAAACAAGCUCAUAAUCGACACACACCUAACAGAGUAACAGACACCAAACAACGCCCAUCACUCGCGCCGUACAUCCUGCCUCCUCCCGCGCGCGCGCGCGCGUGCACGCUAGCUAGCUGCCGGUCGCCUCGCCACCAUGGUGUUCGACGCGAGCGGCAGCAGGUCGGCGGCGGCGGCGUCGGGGAACCCUCUCCGCGUGAUCCUGACGCGCGGGUUCGCGCGGCAGGUGCUCGCGGGGCGGUGGUUGACGGUGUUCGCGAGCCUGCUCAUCAUGGCGUCGUCCGGCGCGACGUACAUCUUCGGGAGCUACUCCGGCACGCUCAAGUCGUCGCUCGGGUACGACCAGCGCACGCUCAACACCGUGUCCUUCUUCAAGGACCUCGGCGCCAACCUGGGCGUCUUCUCGGGGCUCAUCAACGAGGUGACCCCGCCGUGGGUGGUGCUGGCCAUGGGCGCCGCCAUGAACCUGUCCGGGUACCUCAUGGUGUACCUGGCCGUGUCCGGGCGCACCGCGCCGCCGCCGCUGUGGCUCGUGUGCCUCUACUUCUUCGUGGGCGCCAACUCGCAGUCGUUCGCCAACACCGGCGCGCUGGUGACCUGCGUCAAGAACUUCCCCGACAGCCGCGGGGUGGUGCUCGGCAUCCUCAAGGGCUUCGUCGGCCUCAGCGGCGCCGUGUACACGCAGCUGUACCUGGCCCUGUACGGCGGCGACGACGCCGAGUCGCUGAUCCUCCUCGUCGCCUGGCUCCCCGCGGCGGUGUCCGUCGUGUUCGUCCACACCAUCCGGUACAUGCCGUACCCGCGCCGCCGUGGCGGCGGCAGGCAGGAGACGAGCUCCGACUCCGACCCCUUCUUCUGCUUCCUCUACCUCUCCAUCGCGCUGGCGUGCUUCCUCCUCGUCAUGAUCGUGGUGCAGAAGCAGGUGCCCUUCUCCCGCGCCGCGUACGGCGUGGCCGCCACGCCGCUGCUCAUCCUCCUCCUCAUGCCCCUCGGCGUCGUCGUCAAGCAGGAGUACAAGAUCUACCGGGAGCGCCAGCUCGACGCGGCCGACCCGCCGCCGCCGACCAUCAUCUCCGCGUCGGCAACGGACGCCAGCAAGAAAACAGAGCAGCAGCCGGCGCCGGCGCCGCCGCCGACGACGUCGUCGUUCUGUGGGUGCGUGAGGACCAUGUUCCGUCCGCCGGCUCGUGGGGAGGACUACACGAUCCUGCAGGCGCUGGUGAGCGUGGACAUGCUGGUGCUGUUCGUGGCGACAAUCUGCGGCGUGGGCGGGACGCUGACGGCGAUCGACAACAUGGGGCAGAUCGGCGAGUCGCUGGGCUACCCCGCCAGGAGCGUCAACACGUUCGUGUCCCUGAUCAGCAUCUGGAACUACGCGGGGCGCGUGACGGCGGGCUACGCCUCGGAGGCGGCGCUGGCCCGGUACCGCGUGCCGCGGCCGCUGCUGCUGACGUGCGUGCUGGCGCUGGCGUGCGCGGGGCACGUGCUGAUCGCGCUGGGCGCGCCGCGGUCCCUGUACGCGGCGUCGGUGGUCGUCGGGUUCUGCUUCGGCGCGCAGUGGCCGCUGGUGUUCGCCAUCAUCUCGGAGGUGUUCGGGCUCAAGUACUACUCCACGCUCUACAACUUGGGCGGCAUGGCCAGCCCCGUGGGCUCCUACAUCCUGAACGUGCGCGUGGCGGGGCGGCUCUACGACGCGGCGGCCGCGCAGCAGCGCGGCCGCGGCAGGAUCUGCCUCGGGGUGGAGUGCUACCGGCGGUCGUUCCUGAUCGUCACGGCGGCCACGGUGGUCGGCGCGCUGGUGUCGCUGGUGCUGGUGUGGCGGACGUGGACGUUCUACAGGGGCGACAUAUACGCGAGGUUCCGGGACGGAGACGAGGGCCCGGGGCGGGACGGGCGCCUGCCGGUCGACCAGAAACGGGAGGAGGAGGAGAGGGAGAAGGCGGCGGCCAACGGCAGGAAGGCGUGAGGUGGUGAGCGGGAGCGGGAAGGCAUGGUCAGGGACGACGACGGGUGGGGUGUACAUGUACAUGUGAAUAUAGUACUUUUUUGUUGCAUUCACCCGUGAUGACCGACCCUUGUUACCUUUCAAAUUUAAAUAGCCUAAAAAAAGCCUUCUUGUCCGUUUCCACUGCCGUCCAGUCCAAUCCAUGGUGCCUGCUGGGCAACUGGCAAGGGAUGGCGCCGUGCAACUCCUACCGAGGGGAAGCUGUGGCGCAGGCAAGUGAUGUCUGUCGUUUGUCGAUGGUAAAUAAAAGUCACGGGCCCGUGUCCUACCGAGCACCCGUAUCGUCGGAGUCUGCGCGAGUGGAGACGCCUAGCUAUAGAUAUCUAGAAAGCACGUGGUGGCCCGUUAGCACGGCACGAAUCACGAUUUUUUAGCACGUCACGAAUACGGCACGGUAUGGCACAGGUUAAUACGGGUCCGGUCUCAGCUUGGCUCGACGAGCGUGCUAAGCUCGACAGCCAUCUCGGCCCGUUAGGCUGGCCCGAGCACGUCCCGGUAGAUGGUGGGCUUACAAACCAACCCGCUACAGCGGCCAACCCACUUCCCCAGCGGCCCCAGCCGGCCACAUCCCACGGCGCGCCCCAGCGGCCCAGCCAGCCAGCCCCCAGUUGCAUAAAUCGCGUCGCCCACUCGUCCUCACUCCUCCCGUCCGGCCGUAACUCUAACCCUAAGUCCUAAAUCCUAACGCGCCGCACACCCGCUCGGCCGCUCCUCUCCGCUGCUCUCGCGAUCUCGUCUCUCCGUCUCCGCUCCGACGCCUCUGUGGACCUGUCCUCCUCCUCCCUCUCAGUCUCGGAUUCUCGCACGGUAACACUGGAUCUCGCCAUCUCGGUGCUCGUGCUCCGGCUCCUCUUGUCCUCCACUCCUCCGUCCUCCCCCUCUCUACCCUGAGUCCCUGACCUCAACGGCGCCAGCGACGUGAACCGGGGCUCCGGAUCUGCUCGUCAUCGGUGAAGGUAAGGUAACCCGUAAGGCCGUAACCGUGAGGAACCAGUGCGUGUCGGCUCGAUCUCCACUUUGAGUCGGCGACGGAACCGGGGCUCUGGAUCUACCGCUAACGGCGGCCUCAUCUCUGCGUCCGGCCGGUUCACAGGUAAAUCAGUAUGAGAAUAAUAAAUCAGUAUGAGAAUGAUGCAUUGCUUAGACAUGCUGUUACACCUAUGAAGUUUUAGUAUCUUAAAUAUUGGAGGGAUAUUCCGAUGCUAUAUGCAUUUGCCUUUAUAUUAGAUCCUAGAGCCAAAUUAAGGGGUUUCAGCAAUAUCUUGAGAUUAUUAUCUGGGCUAUCUAGUACUGACUACUCACUUUACUAUACUUGUGUGAAAAGUGAAUUGUCUACAAUGUUUAACAAAUCUCUACUACUUAUUAAGGCCGCAAGAGUAGUCUGCCAUUCCAUGUGAAAGUUCCCUUUGCCCGGGAACAGGAUCUGAAUGUUGCCUAGAGGGGGGUGAAUAGGCGAAUAAAAAUUAUCACUUUAAAACUUUAUUCUUACUCUACUCGAAGACCAGAUCGCAGUGGAAUGAAAGACCCUUCGAGUAGGUUGUAGCGGAAUAGAAGAUCCUGUCUCAAAGUGCCCUGCACUAAAUAUAACUUGUACAACAGAUAAGUACUGAAGUGCAGAUAUAAAGAGUAGAUAAUGCAGAGAGACAACACACAAUACAGAGCGAAGCACACAGACACAGGGAUUUAUCCCGAGGUUCGGCCAAGCCUGAAAUGCUUGCCUAGUCCUCGUUGGAGUUAGCCACACCUGGGCUUGGAGUCUAUUUCAACUCCUUCCUCCGUUUGCUCAGAUCUGUCAGUAUGACUGAUAGAGCCUUCCACUAUGUUGAGUUGGUUACAACGGAACCGCGACUGAUUACAAUCUUCUUGGCAGCACUCCGGCAGAGUAAUGAUAUGCUGAAGACCUUGCUCUAGCUCUUAGCAGCACUUCCUCACUCUCUCAAGGCUUAUAGCUUUGCCUCUACACAAACUAGAGAGAUAUACACGAGAGGGAGAGAGAGAAUUGAUCCGAGUGAUGUCUACAAUUGUUGGCUACACUUGUGUCCCUGUUAGAGGCGUCUAGAGGUCCCUUUUAUAGGCCCAAGGGGCCUAGGAGUCGUUGGAAGCAAUCUAGGAAGGCAAUUCUUGCCUUCUGUCGGGUGGCGCACCGGACAGUCCGGUGUACCACCAGACAUCAACUGUUCACUGUCCGGUGCGGAUCUCCUUCCAAAAUUGGCGCAGUCGACCGUUGCAGACUUGGAGCCGUUGGCGCACCGGACGAUGUCCGGUGCACACCGGACAGUCCGGUGCCCCCAUCAGACCGUUGGCUCGGCCACGCGUCACGCGCGGAUUGCGCGGCCGACCGUUGGCUCGGCCGACCGUUGGCUCACCGGACAGUCCGUUGAAUUAUAGCCGUACGCCGUCGACGAAUUCCCGAGAGCGGCCAGUUGACCAGACCCCAGCCUGGCGCACCGGACAGUCCGGUGUACCCAGACUGCGCAGAGUCCUGGCUGCUCCAGCCAAGUCUUUUUCCUUUUGCAUUUUCUCUUCUUUUCUUCUUCUUUCUGUUUCUAACAUUUAGACAAAUAUGUUAGUACACAAAAACCAAUAUACUAAGUCUUGAAACAUACCUUCUCUUUGAUUUUCACUUCUUUAGCAUUUGGCAUAACUGAGAUUGAUGUUGGACUCAUAAGUUAUCAAGUCAGCUUGACUUGAUCUAGAUUGUCAUUUCUAAGCUCCAACAUCCUGCAAAGGUCACAUAGAAUAUUUCCAAACAUAGGAACAACCCAAAUUAAAGGUCAAGGUGCACCUAGCUCUUUUGGGCUGCUUCCGGUUCUGAUUUUGACAUUUGUUCUCCUUCCAGUGACCUUGUUCCCUUUUGAGCUUGGUCUUGAGCCUUAUGACUUACACCACAUAAUUGUAGAUGUUACCUCAUUGGUUGUAAGUCAUGUCCUUAUGUAGUGUUCCUUGAUGCACCAUAACUCUUCUUAACUCGAUCAACCCUGAUUCCGCAAGUCUCCUUCUUCACCCCUAGCUUUGGGUUCCUGGUCUCCUUGACUUUCUCCCGUGCACUCGGUACCUCGAAGCUCUUCUUGCUUCCAUCCUUGGUUUGAUCAGUUGUCUCCAAGUUAUGCACAUCAAGUCUCACUUAAGCAUUGUCCACCUUUCCUAUGAUGUCCAUUAUCUAUAGAUAAUUCCGUCUUUGGACCAUCACACCUGUUUACUUGUGUUGAACCCUGUUAACUUUGCAUUCAGCACCUGUUCAACACUUAACACACUUGUUAGUCCUUUAAUUGGGUUGUCAUCCAAACACCAAAACCCACAAGAGAGCUUUCAAUCUCCCCCUUUUUGGUGAUUGAUGGCAACACAAUUAAAGCUUACAUAAGAAUAAGAUUUAAAGCACAAAUUUUGAAUUCUAAGUUUAUGGAAUGCUCCCCCUAAAUAUGUGCUUACAUCAAAAUCUUAAAUUUGACCUUAUAUGCCAAAUUGCACAUACUUAAGCUAAUUCGAAGCAUUACUACACCUUAGCACUUGUGGGAUGCAUUGUGUCACUAAUUAAACCAUGAUGCGUAUGACACAUAGAUGCACAGAAUCAGAGUUAAACACCAAUUGAAUAUUUAUACCAUAGAAAUAUCAACCUACCACUUUUCACCAUUAAGAUACCAAAUUAAAAGAAUUUUAAAGCACCAGAACCACAUGAAUAUCAAUUACAGAAUAGAUGCCGAUUGAUUCAUGUCAACGGCGGCACUAGUUUUGCAUCGUCACCAUACAACACACAAAAUCAUAUGAUAAGAAUUAUCAACAACACAAACUAUUACAUCCUUCCUUAAGAUCAAAAGAACUCAAAGAAACAUAUUCCUUCAUUAAGAACAAAGAAACUCAAGGAAACCUAAGCUUUAAUGCAUAAAAUUCUUCCCCUUUGACAUCAAGCACCAAAACCACAUUCAAGCAAGAGCAUAGGAUGAUGUCAAGGGACAGCAGGUUAUUAAGAAGGUAAAAUACAACACACAAACAUUGCUCCCCCUUACUCAGUAGACAUAUGCAACCCAAGUAUUGGAGGAAAAUUUAGGUACAAAUACGCAAAAUAUCAACACUUCCUUUUGUACCUUUACCCUGUUGUGGUGUACUUUCCAUCUUGAAGGUUUAAUCUCUCGGGAGCUUCUCCACACUUGUGCCUGAUCCUUUAUCCUAACCUUUUCUUGUUGCUAAGACACCAAGCUUAGAGCAAGUUAUAGUAUUGUGGCACAAGAUGAAGCUUUUAUUCUAGUGAUUACCAAAAGAUAUCAAUUGAAGCAAACUACCAUGGCUACCAAUUGAAAAAUCAUUAUUGUCAUAGCUCCAUGAUAUUUAAAGAUAAGCAUCUAGUGUCACCAAAUAUUAUGAGCAAUCUAAAAAUAUGUAAUUACUCACAACUUAAGAUACCAAAUACUUGACUUACGGAGGUACCCAAGUCCUGAUUGCUCCAUUUCUUGCUCAUCUUCCCUUUUCCACCUUGAGACUGUACAAGAUCACUCAAGAAACAAUUAGUCUCAAAAGACACAAGUUAUGUGUGCUCCCCCUAAAGUUGUGCAUCAAGUAUUUGAAUGACUUGCCCUUUGCAUAUUCCAGCAUCCUCAGAACUAGAGGAGAUCACAACAUAUCUUGGUCUAGAUAUAAUCUAUCAAUUUUAUCACUAAGAGAUACUAAUUGGAUAGAUGACAUAAUACAACUUAUGACUAGAUGAAACAAUGCAUGCCUCAAGAUAUAUAACAUUUUACAAGCAGCCUAGGCAUGCUUCAUACAUGAUAAUCAUUGCACCACAUAUACCAAUUGAAAAUGACAAGAUCAUGCAUAUAAAGCACAAUGUCUAAUCACAUCAAGAUUAAGAAGAAUUUUUUUAGGUACACCAAGGGAAGCAACAUUUUAAGGCAUAAGGCACCUAAGCCAAGAUACUACAAAUGAAAGGCGAGAACAUAGCUAUGAUCACAAUCAACAGAACUUCAAGAUUUUCAAUGAAAUUGCAUAGUUCCAUUCUCCAUACCUUUGCCUUUUACCUGAAUGGCCAUGAGAGCACCAGUUGUCACCAAAUGAGGGCUCCUUUUGCUCAUGCACCUCAUAGCUCAAGAGGGUGCAUUGGAGGCACAACACAUACCAUUGUUAUACACAGAGUGCCAAUACAAAGUACUUAUGUGAACAUGGACUAAACAACAAUUAUCAUGCUUGCAUUUAGGUUAAUCAUUAAACACCUCAUAGCAUGACUAACAAGAAGUACAUGUUUAUCCACAUACACCAAGAGAGUUAAUCAUGGUAAAUAUAUCAAAUGAUAAGCUACUCAUUGAAUGAUUCAAGAGAUAUAACACACAAUCAUGAUUAAGCAAGCAUCAAUGUGAUCUUUGAAAUCAUGAAUCAAUGAUCAAAAAGUAUUCAACACAAGCAAUCUCAAAAGCAUAACUACUCCGAGGACAGAUACAACAGUCAAACUUCAGAGCAAUACUGAUUUGCAAUAAUGUACUUAAAAUACACGAGUACCGUCCUUUGGAGAGCACGUUGCAUAUUCUCAUCACGGUCCUUUGCUUGAUUCACCAAUAAUGGUUCAAGACCUCUACAACUUAUUUAACUUGAGAUGAACACGGGAUUAGAAUUGCACAAUCAUUCAACCUUGGGUCAAUGAAUAGACAAUAAAAAUUAACAGCUUAAGCAUAGAGUUUGAAUUAACCAUCUUAAGCUCUCCCAUGGUCUCCAGUCCACCUCGAGGCACCUGCAUGGUCUAGUUGGCACAGUUUGGUACCCAUCUCGAGAUGGGUCCAUGAUGUUCAACUAAUAGUGCUUUUGGUACCCAAAUAGCCUUUGUGCUAGUUCUAGGUGAUCUCAUUUUUGAUCUAGCACAAGUGUAUGAUUUGGGUCUCCUAAGCAAAUAAGAUUGAGAUAGAUUUACUUGCAUAGGAACCUUACCCUUUUUACAUACCUUGGAUAGAUGACCCUGCUCACCACACUUGUAGCAGAAGCGUAGCUUAACCUGACAUGACGCUUGCUAUUUGUCUUCUUUCUUAGUGGGGAUCAUCCCGGAGAGUGCACAUGCUUGAUUUAUCAUUAGCGGACAAGAAGUGAUCGUAUGGUUCUUGUCAUUGCAUCCGAAGCAUCUCCUUAUCCCUUCAUCCUUGUCGUUGUAUGGACACGACGCAAUGAGGUGUCCUGACUUAUUGCACUUAAAGCACCUCCUUUUCCCUUUUCUCUUUUUGUUCUUGGAUGACAUAGAGAAAUGGUUAGUGCAAACAACAUGACUAAUUGAAUCUUUACCUUUUUCCAAGCUCAUGUUGAUUUCUUCAUUUUUUGCUUUAGGAACAUCUUUCUUAAGGAGUUUGACCCUUGCUGCGGUUUCUCCUUCCUCAAGCUUCUUCACCACGUGUUCGUAGAUAUCUUGAGGAAGUCGAGCAAGGCGUUUUCUCCUUAAUUGUCUUUGUUUCUUGUUUCCAAGCAAUUUCCUUUUUGACCCUACAACUUGUUGUUCAUUCAAACAUUCGCUUCCUUUUGAGCGAUAGGGGUUAGCACAUGGUGAUAUAUUAUCCAAAUGUGCACUUGUGCAAGAACGAGGUUCACAUGAAUUUAAGUUUGUAAUUACAACCUCAUGAGCAACAUCAAGCAUGAUAUGGUCAUCAACUAGUUUACUAUGAGAGUACGACAACAUAUCAUACUUUUCACCUAGAGCAAGUUUUUCUAAAUUUAUCAUUUCUACUUGACUCCUAAGCAUAGAAUUUUCAGUUUUAAGUUGAGCAACAUUAGAUAAUACAUCAUGAUUAUUUCUUUGCUCAAUUAAAAUAGAUUCAUACCGUUGGACCAAAUUUCCAUGAGAGUACUUUAGCUCCUCAUGUUCUUUGGUCAUCUUCUCCAGGCUGUCGUUGGUUUUGAUGAGAGUCUCCUCUAGCCUGAGGAGCGUCUCGCCUUGUUCUUUGUUCCUUCUCAACAGCUUAACCAAGAGCGCUUUGUCUCCUUUGUUGAGAUGGGUGUAGAAACAGCGAAUCUCCUCUUCUUCCACAUCAUCGGUCUCAUUUUCCCUGUCAUUAUUGUCAGUGGAAGCAAAACAGGAAAAUGUAUCUUGUGAUGAUGUAGACUCCUCAUCCUCAUAUUCCUCCUCAUCAUCACUUUCAUCUCCACUUUCAUCGUUAGCAACAAGACAUGUAUAACUAGUGGAAGACAAACCUGUCGGUGAGGUGGAUUCAUCGUUUGGUUGCCAUCGUUUUUCUUUUCCCUUUGAAAGAUUAGUACCACAAGCAACAUAGGGAGUAGAAGUAGUACAAUUUGACUCAGAAUAUUUUAUUUUAAUUCUAGUCCAUAGAUCAUGAGCAUCGACAAGAACAUCACUAUUACUACCUAUGACAGCAAAAUAAACAUCCUUGCUAAGGGAAUUGACUAGGAUGUCAUAGGCUUGAUAAUUUUGACGCAGACAUCUUAGAUCAUGCUCAGAUGGAUUUUUCAUAUCAAUAUUAAUGGGCAAAACACUAGCAUCAAAUAUUUGCUCUACUUCAGGACCUAAACUCCUAAAAGUAUUAUAUAAAUGAAAAGACCAGGAUGCAUAGUUAGAGCCAUCAGAAUUAAGAAGUUCUACAUUUACCUCUUGUGACGACAUCAUCAUCUCCGGACGGCUAAGCCCACACUGGAGAGGCCUAGCUCUGAUACCAAUUGAAAGUUCCCUUUGCCCGGGAAUAGGAUCUGGAUGUCGCCUAGAGGGGGGGUGAAUAGGCGAAUAAAAAUUAUCACUUUAAAACUUUAUUCUUACUCUACUCGAAGACCAGAUCGCAGUGGAAUGAAAGACCCUUCGAGUAGGUUGUAGCAGAAUAGAAGAUCCUGUCUCAAAGUGCCCUGCACUAAAUAUAACUUGUACAACAGAUAAGUACUGAAGUGCAGAUAUAAAGAGUUGAUAAUGCAGAGAGACAUCACACAAUACAGAGCGAAGCACACAGACACAGAGAUUUAUCCCGAGGUUCGGCCAAGCCUAAAAUGCUUGCCUAGUCCUCGUUGGAGUUAGCCACACCUGGGCUUGGAGUCUAUUUCAACUCCUUCCUCCGUUUGCUCAGAUCUAUCAGUAUGACUGAUAGAGCCUUCCAAUAUGUUGAGUUGGUUACAACGGAACCGCGGCUGCUUACAAUCUUCUUGACAGCACUUCGGCAGAGUAACGAUAUGCUCAAGACCUUGCUCUAGCUCUUAGCAGCACUUCCCCACUCUCUCAAGGCUUAUAGCUUUGCCUCUACACAAACUAGAGAGAUAUACACGAGAGCGAGAGAGAGAAUUGAUCCGAGUGAUGUCUACAAUUGUUGGCUGCACUUGUGUCCCUGUUAGAGGCGUCUAGAGGUCCCUUUUAUAGGCCCAAGGGGCCUAGGAGCCGUUGGAAGCAAUCCAGGAAGGCAAUUCUUGCCUUCUGUCAAGUGGCACAUCGGACAGUCCGGUGCACCACCGGACAUCAACUGUUCACUGUCCGGUGCGGAUCUCCUUCCAAAAUUGGCGUAGUCGACCUUUGCAGACUUGGAGCCGUUGGUGCACCGGACACUGUCCAGUGCCCCCAUCAGACCGUUGGCUCGGCCACGCGUCACGCGCGGAUUGCGCAGCCGACCGUUGGCUCACCGGACAGUCCGCUGCACCACCGGACAGUCCGGUGAAUUAUAGCCGUACGCCGUUGACGAAUUCUUGAGAGCGUCCAGUUGACCAGACCCUAGCCUGGCGCACCGGACACUGUCCGGUGCACCACCGGACAGUUCGGUGUACCCAGACUGCGCAGAGUCCUAGCUGCUCCAGCCAAGUCUUUUUCCUUUUGCAUUUUCUCUUCUUUUCUUCUUCUUUCUAUUUCUAACAUUUAGACAAAUAUGUUAGUACACAAAAACCAAUGUACUAAGUCUUGAAACAUACCUUCUCUUUGAUUUUCACUUCUUUAGCAUUUGGCAUAACUGAGAUUGAUGUUGGACUCAUAAGUCAUCAAGUCAGCUUGACUUGAUCUAGAUUGUCAUUUCUAAGCUCCAACAUCCUGCAAAGGUCACAUAGAAUAUUUCCAAACAUAGGAACAACCCAAAUUAAAUGUCAAGGUGCACUUAGCUCUUUUGGGCUGCUUCCGGUUCUGAUUUUGACAUUUGUUCUCCUUCCAGUGACCUUGUUCCCUUUUGAGCUUGGUCUUGAGCCUUAUGACUUACACCACAUAAUUGUAGAUGUUACCUCAUUGGUUGUAAGUCAUGUCCUUAUGUAGUGUUCCUUGAACCAUAACUCUUCUUAACUCGAUCAACCCUGAUUCUGCAAGUCUCCUUCUUCACCCCUGGCUUUGGGUUACUGGUCUCCUUGACUUUCUCUCGUGCACUCGGUACCUCGAAGCUCUUCUUGCUUCCAUCCUUGGUUUGAUCAGUUGUCUCCAAGUUAUGCACAUCAUGUCUCACUUAAGCAUUGUCCACCUUUCCUAUGAUGUCCAUUAUCUAUAGAUAAUUCCGUCUUUGGACCAUCACACCUGUUUACUUGUGUUGAACCCUGUUAACUUUGCAUUCAGCACCUGUUCAACACUUAACACACUUGUUAGUCCUUUAAUUGGGUUGUCAUCCAAACACCAAAACCCACAAGAGAGCUUUCACCAUGUUCUGCCAUCAUUCCUGUUCUACCAUUCCCGUUCUGCCACCAUUCCCAUUCCUUGUUCUGCGUUUCUCAUUCUCAUGUUCUGUCAUUCCCAUGUUCUGCCAUCAUUCUAUGUUCUCUCAUUCCCAUUCUUUGUUCUAUCUUUCUCAUUCCCCCUCCCCGCAAAGCCCAUUCCCAUUUCCCUGUACAACCCACGUCUAGCUAAAAUUAAAAAAACACACAUGUCCUCAAGAAGUUUUGAACUUGUGACCUCUCAAGCAAAGGCCAAGAGUAGCUACCGCUACACCACAUAUAUGUUUAUGUCUACAUCUAUGACAGGAAACACAUCUACUACAUCUCUCACCAAGCUCACUUGCUACCCUUGCACAAUGCGUAGUCGUAGAUAAGUAUCACCGAGAUUCUUGAAUUAUAUUUUUGGAUGGAGGUAAUAUUAUUUAAAGAAGAGCUUACAUGCAAUUUCUUUUGUUUGAAUAAUGUAUUAUACUUAAAUUCCCUUUUUUGCAUGCGUGACAUUUUUUCUUCAUAAUAUUUUUUUUCCAUGGAUCAGAUUUGUGAGUCAUUUUCAUAAACCAACGCCAAUCAUGAAUCCAUGUUUCUUACUUGAAACCCCGAACAAACACCAUGAGUAGGAGGCACUCGCGUUGGCGUCGCUCAUCGAUGAUGAGAAGAAGCUUGGCGACUGUCAGUUCGACCUCUAGAAGCAGUCCUACGUGGUCGCAUGUGCCGCUGUGUACGACAAGCUCCCGCGAAGCCGCCGCUUGGACGCGGUCCAGAGCAGCUGCACCGCGCUGUCCAUCGUUAAGCAGGGGGCCUCAUGGUUGUCGCCAACGUCGACGACCCUCGGGUUGUUCUGGACACCGCAUCCGACGACGACGCCAUCACGCCGUCCAGC
rnacentral:lncRNA from 1 species